CUACGGGUUGCACCAGUAGGGAAUUUUCGGCAAUGGGCGAAAGCCUGACCGAGCAAUGCCGCGUGAACGAUGAAGGCCUUCGGGUCGUAAAGUUCUGUUAUUUGGGAAGAACACGUAGUUUAGGAAAUGAUUCUACGUUGACGGUACCUUAUCAGAAAGCUCCGGCUAACUACGUGCCAGCAGCCGCGGUAAUACGUAGGGAGCGAGCGUUAUCCGGAAUUAUUGGGCGUAAAGCGUGCGUAGGCGGUUUGUUAAGUCAAAUCUGAAAGCCCCCAGCUUAACUGGGGAGAGUGAUUUGAAACUGGCAGACUUGAGUAUGGCAGAGGUUAGUGGAAUCUCAUGUGUAGCGGUGGAAUGCGUAGAUAUAUGAAGGAACACCAGUGGCGAAGGCGGCUAACUGGACCAGAACUGACGCUGAGGCACGAAAGCGUGGGGAGCAAACGGGAUUAGAUACCCGCGUAGUC
rnacentral:rRNA from 1 species